rnacentral:lncRNA from 1 species
AGCUGUCAGAAGGUCACAGUAGCCUGAUGCUCCAUGACAACCUGUGCGCCAUUCAUCCUUCAACACACUUCAUCUCAUCGUGGUGGCCUUUUGUCAUUUCCCAUCACCACAAGAAGAAGGUUCCACGGUAACAGCUUUACUCCUGAAAGGAAGGGAGGGUGGGAACAGUGGAAGUACCUGCCAGAGGCGGAGAGAGAACGUGAGCGAACGUUUUGGAGGCGAAGACCAUCUGUACAUGGUUUCCUUCUCCUGCCGACAAAAG